CGCUUCGCCACAAGUUUAGGUGCACAAGAAAUGUGACCUCUCAACAAAUUAAAAAGAAACUAUUAUGGCGAAAUAUGGGUUUUGCGCCGAUGGUACUACCCACGUGAGUAGCGAGAACGUUCUAGGAAGCUCGAUAUUUCCUGGAACCGAAUUUUAUUUACUUAUUACCCAAAGGUCCCAUCGAGGGACAUUACGUGAGGGGUGGGCAUGUAAAGGGCGGAACCCAUGAUGAUGAUGAUGUUAGAAAAGAUGAGUCAGAGUAUUCUAUGGCAUAUCUGAAACGCCCUAGAUCACUGAUUGGUGCAGUUUGUCCCGGAAGUUCAUAUAUCAACGCCUGGGGAAAAUUCGAUGAACAUAGCGUUUUUUAGUUGGUAACUUUUUUUUUUGGGGCGAGAAAAACUUCACGUGCCAUGCAUAACACCACGUUUCAGAGUUGUUCUAUUCUGAACAUGUAGUUCAACAUGGGACAGGUAGUACAUAAAACAAAACAUUACAAACACCAUAUUUUAUUUCAGAGUGCUGUGAUGACUGACUUGGACGCAUAAACGGCUUGUGCACGAAUAUGUGUAAUAGUCAUAUAGAUACAUUUAUAUACAACUGUGUCGUCGCUUGUCGACAAGGCUGAUGAGGCGCGAACUAUCACACACGUUGCGCUUAAUAUGCACUAUCAACAUGAGCUCCGGCUUAACUCGGCACGUUAUCACAAUUGCCGAGAGAAUGGGCAAUCACACCGCUCCAUAGCAAAUGUCGUCAUAAGCGCUCCGCUCUUGUUUUUGUUUAGGCUAGGCUGGAGAACGAGAGAGCAUGGCCGAUGCUGUUUUGCCUCUUCAUCUUCUAUCAUGACUAACGUAUCUAGCGCGAAGUAAUGUACAAAACGCAGUGCCAAUAGAUAAUAAUGCAAGCACAGUUUCAACUUGCCUUCUCAUGCUGACUCAUGUGUCACGGACCAGCCACGCUAUCAAGUCAGUAAGCGGCGAUCGACGAGACACAGCACGCAUGCGUACAUUCCCGGCAUUCUCUACUAAGGCGUCGAGGGCAUCCUGUUAUCGGCGGACACACUCGGUAGUGACGCGCUGUUCUCUUCAGCGAGGUAACUGAACCGCUAGGGCCGUUCUGACGAAGGUAUGUUUUAGUAUAAUUUGUAUUCGUGGGUAGCGGCAACGCGUUAUUAUGCUAACAGUUUAUCUGAGUGAGACUUAACCUUGCUCUUGCCUUGAGUUCUUGUUUUGCAGGAAUGAGCAACACGAUGACCAAAAGCCACAUACGACGUUGACAAGCUGCGCAUAGCAACCGUUAGGGCAUUGGAGUUCCGCAUGUUGAGCCGCGUAUUGCCACUUGUUUUUCAAGGAUCCGUAGUCUGCUGGUGGUGGCUGCAAUAGACAUUGCUGUCCUUCGACGCCUCCCAGAAGAGAUUCCGAGAGGCUUCCGGACUCAAGGAGUGCCUGCUGUCGGAGCUGCAGUACGUGCCGCCACCACUGCCCUCGAGUCAGUCCCAGGGACGCGGCUGUGCCUCGAGUGGUCCUGGCGGCUAUGAGGGUAGACCCACACAUCGCAAUGUGAUGAAGGCACUCGACCAUCGCAUAUUUGCGCGAGCAAGGGUUGAUGUUAGGCCACUGGUUCAUCAAAGCUGGGUCGUAGAAACUGAUGGCCUAAGACCUUGGUGGGGGCAGCCGCAGUCAGCGCGGAUCACCAGGCAAGUACGUACGUCCUUUGACACGGCAGUACGUCGUAAUUACGGGAAGCCGCUGCUACCAGUGUGGCGGGCUUAGGCACUGCCACUAGAAGCGAGCUACACUGGAACCUAAACCAUCAGGAAAACCAAACACUGGCAGUGCUCAUACGAGGGGGUGCGACGCUUACAGCCAACGGUGCAUCUGCAUGGUGAAACAGUAUCUCUUCUGUGGGCCGUGUAAAGCGUAUACCACAAGCUGUACCAGCGAGGUUCAAUGUGAAUGCACUACGCAGUAAACGUAAGAGCAUUUCUUGACACAUGCUCUAGCGUCACAUUAAACGUGGAGGCAUUGUAGUACUGCGCGGCGAACAACGUAGAGCUUGGGGCAAACACGCCGGCACAGUGCUCCCAGAUCGACGACGUCCUGGGGCCAUUUUCUAGGUUCACGCAGCGCAAGGAAAACAUUCGCUGGCAAUGCAUCUAUGCUGCUGACUCGAUGUCGUGACAAUGCAGCCAGCGAACUCGAUGUGUCUACAAGCGAGCGCUCUCUGUUAACGGCAUCGCACGAUAUAUUCAUUGCCGUGUCUUUCAACCAUCGAAUAGCUCAUGGGCCUUCUUUGUGGUUCUUGAGUCCAGGUAAGGUGAGUAAGCACGCCCCUCCUUCGAAUAUAACCGCAAACUGAAUGAAAUGGCGGUAACGAACUCAGUACCAUUUUCUAUGAAUUCAGAUGACGAUGCGCUUUGUCCGCAGACAAGGAUAUACCGAAUGCAAGUGGUGCCAGUAUGAGCGUAGCAUGGUCAGCCGUGUACCAAGACUUGCUCAGGUGUGUGUGAUCAUGUUUUGUCUACCAAAUCAAAGUUUAUCGUUAGUGACAUAUGUUUGCAGGGCCGGCAGCCAGUGAGUGUUUGCACGUGUGCUCGAGCGCCGUGAGUGUGCAUGCUUUCGACCGACAAGCCCGCGAUGAAAGCGCUCACGGGUCCAGUCAAUGGCUUCACCCCGGAGCUAGACUGCGCAUGCCUCACGUGUUCUUUGCCCGCAACGAUUUGAAUUUGCGCGUAAGCACAGCGCUGGGGUAGGGGCUGGCCGCACUCCGCGUGGGAUUUGUCACGGACAUACGGCUCUAUCCCUGGACAUCGUGCCCUGGGCCGCAAAGGACAGCGCCGGUCGACGCGCCAGUCGACGCACUGGAAUGUGUCCGGAAGAACUAUCCAUUCGACAGCACAGCAAGGUUCCUGCAGUCAUCGGGCCUUUGCCUGACCACGUCAGCCACAGGCUUCGCUGAGCAGCAGUGACUCCUAACGCACUGUGAACUCUAGCUUCGUGCUUGAUGCUACCUGUCAUAAGCGUUUUGCCGGUGAGCCCUUCACGAGUAACGUCGAGUGUGUUUUACCGUGGCCGCCACUACACUCUCGUCUCCAUUGUGAAACCCGUUUUUUUUUUUUUUGCGGUGAAUAAAGUGCUGUCGUGUGU